rnacentral:rRNA from 1 species
AAGCCGUUGUCCGGAAUUACUGGCUGUAAAGGGAGCGCAGGCGGGAAGACAAGUUGGAAGUGAAAUCUAUGGGCUCAACCCAUAAACUGCUUUCAAAACUGUUUUUCUUGAGUAGUGCAGAGGUAGGCGGAAUUCCCGGUGUAGCGGUGGAAUGCGUAGAUAUCGGGAGGAACACCAGUGGCGAAGGCGGCCUACUGGGCACCAACUGACGCUGAGGCUCGAAAGUGUGGGUAGCAAACAGGAUUAGAUACCCUGGUAGUCCACACCGUAAACGAUGAUUACUAGGUGUUGGAGGAUUGACCCCUUCAGUGCCGCAGUUAACACAAUAAGUAAUCCACCUGGGGAGUACGACCGCAAGGUUGAAACUCAAAGGAAUUGACGGGGGCCCGCACAAGCAGUGGAGUAUGUGGUUUAAUUCGACGCAACGCGAAGAACCUUACCAAGUCUUGACAUCCUGCGACGUGCAUAGAAAUAUGUAUUUCCUUCGGGACGCAGAGACAGGUGGUGCAUGGUUGUCGUCAGCUCGUGUCGUGAGAUGUUGGGUUAAGUCCCGCAACGAGCGCAACCCUUACUGUCAGUUACUACGCAAGAGGACUCUGGCAGGACUGCCGUUGACAAAACGGAGGAAAGUGGGGAUGACGUCAAAUCAUCAUGCCCUUUAUGACUUGGGCUACACACGUACUACAAUGGCGUUAAACAAAGAGAAGCAAGACCGCGAGGUGGAGCAAAACUCAGAAACAACGUCCCAGUUCGGACUGCAGGCUGCAACUCGCCUGCACGAAGUCGGAAUUGCUAGUAAUCGUGGAUCAGCAUGCCACGGUGAAUACGUUCCCGGGCCUUGCACACACCGCCCGU